UACACACCGCCCGUCACACCAUGGGAGUCGUUUGCUCCAGAAGUGGCUGCGCCAACCCCGCAAAGGGAGGCAGGUCCCCAAGGAGUGAACGGUAACUGGGGUG
rnacentral:rRNA from 1 species